UACAGAGGGUGCAAGCGUUAAUCGGAUUUACUGGGCGUAAAGCGUGCGUAGGCGGUUCAUUAAGUCGGUUGUGAAAUCCCUGGGCUUAACCUGGGAACUGCAGUCGAUACUGGUGAACUAGAAUGCGGUAGAGGGUGGCGGAACUCCGGGUGUAGCGGUGAAAUGCGUAGAUAUCCGGAAGAACACCGAUGGCGAAGGCAACCACCUGGGCCUGCAUUGACGCUGAGGCGCGAAAGCUAGGGUAGCAAACGGG
rnacentral:rRNA from 1 species